rnacentral:rRNA from 4 species
GGUUAAGCGACUAAGCGUACACGGUGGAUGCCCUGGCAGUCAGAGGCGAUGAAGGACGUGCUAAUCUGCGAUAAGCGCCGGUAAGGUGAUAUGAACCGUUAUA